rnacentral:rRNA from 1 species
AUUGAACGCUGGCGGCAGACCUAACACAUGCAAGUCGAGCGGAUGAAGGGAGCUUGCUCCUGGAUUCAGCGGCGGACGGGUGAGUAAUGCCUAGGAAUCUGCCUGGUAGUGGGGGAUAACGUCCUGAAACGGGCGCUAAUACCGCAUACGUCCUGAGGGAGAAAGAGGGGGAUCGUCGGACCUCACGCUAUCAGAUGAGCCUAGGUCGGAUUAGCUAGUUGGUGGGGUAAAGGCCUACCAAGGCGACGAUCCGUAACUGGUCUGAGAGGAUGAGCAGUCGCCCUGGAGCUGAGACACGCUCCAGACUCCUACGGGAGGCAGCAGUGGGGAAUAUUGGACAAUGGUCGAAAGCCUUAUCCAGCCAUGCCGCGUGUGUUAAGAAGGUCUUCGGAUUGUAAAGCACUUUAAGUUGGUAGGAAGGGCAUUAAGUUAAUACCUUGCUGUUUUGACGUUACCAACAGAAUAAGCACCGGCUAACUUCGUG